rnacentral:rRNA from 2 species
UUAAGCGACUAAGCGUACACGGUGGAUGCCCUGGCAGUCAGAGGCGAUGAAGGACGUGCUAAUCUGCGAUAAGCGUCGGUAAGGUGAUAUGAACCGUUAUAACCGGCGAUUUCCGAAUGGGGAAACCCAGUGUGAUUCGUCACACUAUCAUUAACUGAAUCCAUAGGUUAAUGAGGCGAACCGGGGGAACUGAAACAUCUAAGUACCCCGAGGAAAAGAAAUCAACCGAGAUUCCCCCAGUAGCGGCGAGCGAACGGGGAGCAGCCCAGAGCCUGAAUCAGUGUGUGUGUUAGUGGAAGCGUCUGGAAAGGCGCGCGAUACAGGGUGACAGCCCCGUACACAAAAAUGCACAUGCUGUGAGCUCGAUGAGUAGGGCGGGACACGUGGUAUCCUGUCUGAAUAUGGGGGGACCAUCCUCCAAGGCUAAAUACUCCUGACUGACCGAUAGUGAACCAGUACCGUGAGGGAAAGGCGAAAAGAACCCCGGCGAGGGGAGUGAAAAAGAACCUGAAACCGUGUACGUACAAGCAGUGGGAGCACGCUUCGGCGUGUGACUGCGUACCUUUUGUAUAAUGGGUCAGCGACUUAUAUUCUGUAGCAAGGUUAACCGAAUAGGGGAGCCGAAGGGAAACCGAGUCUUAACUGGGCGUUAAGUUGCAGGGUAUAGACCCGAAACCCGGUGAUCUAGCCAUGGGCAGGUUGAAGGUUGGGUAACACUAACUGGAGGACCGAACCGACUAAUGUUGAAAAAUUAGCGGAUGACUUGUGGCUGGGGGUGAAAGGCCAAUCAAACCGGGAGAUAGCUGGUUCUCCCCGAAAGCUAUUUAGGUAGCGCCUCGUGAAUUCAUCUCCGGGGGUAGAGCACUGUUUCGGCAAGGGGGUCAUCCCGACUUACCAACCCGAUGCAAACUGCGAAUACCGGAGAAUGUUAUCACGGGAGACACACGGCGGGUGCUAACGUCCGUCGUGAAGAGGGAAACAACCCAGACCGCCAGCUAAGGUCCCAAAGUCAUGGUUAAGUGGGAAACGAUGUGGGAAGGCCCAGACAGCCAGGAUGUUGGCUUAGAAGCAGCCAUCAUUUAAAGAAAGCGUAAUAGCUCACUGGUCGAGUCGGCCUGCGCGGAAGAUGUAACGGGGCUAAACCAUGCACCGAAGCUGCGGCAGCGACACUAUGUGUUGUUGGGUAGGGGAGCGUUCUGUAAGCCUGUGAAGGUGUACUGUGAGGUAUGCUGGAGGUAUCAGAAGUGCGAAUGCUGACAUAAGUAACGAUAAAGCGGGUGAAAAGCCCGCUCGCCGGAAGACCAAGGGUUCCUGUCCAACGUUAAUCGGGGCAGGGUGAGUCGACCCCUAAGGCGAGGCCGAAAGGCGUAGUCGAUGGGAAACAGGUUAAUAUUCCUGUACUUGGUGUUACUGCGAAGGGGGGACGGAGAAGGCUAUGUUGGCCGGGCGACGGUUGUCCCGGUUUAAGCGUGUAGGCUGGUUUUCCAGGCAAAUCCGGAAAAUCAAGGCUGAGGCGUGAUGACGAGGCACUACGGUGCUGAAGCAACAAAUGCCCUGCUUCCAGGAAAAGCCUCUAAGCAUCAGGUAACAUCAAAUCGUACCCCAAACCGACACAGGUGGUCAGGUAGAGAAUACCAAGGCGCUUGAGAGAACUCGGGUGAAGGAACUAGGCAAAAUGGUGCCGUAACUUCGGGAGAAGGCACGCUGAUAUGUAGGUGAAGUCCCUCGCGGAUGGAGCUGAAAUCAGUCGAAGAUACCAGCUGGCUGCAACUGUUUAUUAAAAACACAGCACUGUGCAAACACGAAAGUGGACGUAUACGGUGUGACGCCUGCCCGGUGCCGGAAGGUUAAUUGAUGGGGUCAGCGCAAGCGAAGCUCUUGAUCGAAGCCCCGGUAAACGGCGGCCGUAACUAUAACGGUCCUAAGGUAGCGAAAUUCCUUGUCGGGUAAGUUCCGACCUGCACGAAUGGCGUAAUGAUGGCCAGGCUGUCUCCACCCGAGACUCAGUGAAAUUGAACUCGCUGUGAAGAUGCAGUGUACCCGCGGCAAGACGGAAAGACCCCGUGAACCUUUACUAUAGCUUGACACUGAACAUUGAGCCUUGAUGUGUAGGAUAGGUGGGAGGCUUUGAAGUGUGGACGCCAGUCUGCAUGGAGCCGACCUUGAAAUACCACCCUUUAAUGUUUGAUGUUCUAACGUUGGCCCCUGAUCGGGGUUGCGGACAGUGUCUGGUGGGUAGUUUGACUGGGGCGGUCUCCUCCUAAAGAGUAACGGAGGAGCACGAAGGUUGGCUAAUCCUGGUCGGACAUCAGGAGGUUAGUGCAAUGGCAUAAGCCAGCUUGACUGCGAGCGUGACGGCGCGAGCAGGUGCGAAAGCAGGUCAUAGUGAUCCGGUGGUUCUGAAUGGAAGGGCCAUCGCUCAACGGAUAAAAGGUACUCCGGGGAUAACAGGCUGAUACCGCCCAAGAGUUCAUAUCGACGGCGGUGUUUGGCACCUCGAUGUCGGCUCAUCACAUCCUGGGGCUGAAGUAGGUCCCAAGGGUAUGGCUGUUCGCCAUUUAAAGUGGUACGCGAGCUGGGUUUAGAACGUCGUGAGACAGUUCGGUCCCUAUCUGCCGUGGGCGCUGGAGAACUGAGGGGGGCUGCUCCUAGUACGAGAGGACCGGAGUGGACGCAUCACUGGUGUUCGGGUUGUCAUGCCAAUGGCACUGCCCGGUAGCUAAAUGCGGAAGAGAUAAGUGCUGAAAGCAUCUAAGCACGAAACUUGCCCCGAGAUGAGUUCUCCCUGACUCCUUGAGAGUCCUGAAGGAACGUUGAAGACGACGACGUUGAUAGGCCGGGUGUGUAAGCGCAGCGAUGCGUUGAGCUAACCGGUACUAAUGAACCGUGAGGCUUAACCUU